rnacentral:piRNA from 1 species
UUCAGUAGACUUCUUGCCACA